rnacentral:rRNA from 1 species
AUUGAACGCUGGCGGCAUGCUUUACACAUGCAAGUCGAACGGUAACAGGUUAAGCUGACGAGUGGCGAACGGGUGAGUAAUGCAUCGGAACGUGCCCGGUCGUGGGGGAUAACGCAGCGAAAGUUGCGCUAAUACCGCAUACGAUCUGAGGAUGAAAGCGGGGGACCGUAAGGCCUCGCGCGAUCGGAGCGGCCGAUGUCAGAUUAGGUAGUUGGGGGGGUAAAGGCUCACCAAGCCAACGAUCUGUAGCUGGUCUGAGAGGACGACCAGCCACACGGGGACUGAGACACGGCCCAGACUCCUACGGGAGGCAGCAGUGGUGAAUUUUGGACAAUGGGCGAAAGCCGGAUCCAGCAAUGCCGCGUGCAGGAAGAAGGCCUUCGGGUUGUAAACUGCUUUUGUACGGAGCGAAAAGGUCUCCUCUAAUACAGGGGGCUCAUGACGGUACCGUAAGAAUAAGCACCGGCUAACUACGUGCCAGCAGCCGCCGUAA